CCUACGGGUGGCAGCAGUGAGGAAUAUUGGUCAAUGGACGAGAGUCUGAACCAGCCAAGUAGCGUGAAGUAUGACUGCCCUAUGGGUUUUACACUUCUUUUAUAUGGGAAUCAACCGUUCCACGUGUGGGAUUUUGUAUGUACCAUCUGAAUAAGGAUCGGCUAACUCCGUUCCAUCAGCCUCGUUAAUACGGAGGAUCCGAGCGUUAUCCGGAUUUAUUGGGUUUAAAGGGAGCGUAGGUGGAUUGUUAAGUCAGUUGUGAAAGUUUGGGGCUCAACCGUAAAAUUGCAGUUGAAACUGGCAGUCUUGAGUACAGUAGAGGUGGGCGGAAUUCGUGGUGUAGCGGUGAAAUGCUUAGAUAUCACGAAGAACUCCGAUUGCGAAGGCAGUUCACUGGACUGCAACUGACACUGAGGCUCGAAAGUGUGGGUAUCAAACAGGAUUAGAUACCCCAGUAGUC
rnacentral:rRNA from 1 species